rnacentral:rRNA from 1 species
UACAGAGGGUGCGAGCGUUGUCCGGAAUCACUGGGCGUAAAGGGCGCGUAGGUGGCGACCCGAGUCCAUGGUGAAAGCUCGAUGCUCAACAUCGAGUCGGCCACGGAUACUGGGUUGCUCGAGCACUGUAGAGGCUAAUGGAAUUCCGGGUGUAGCGGUGGAAUGCGUAGAGAUCCGGAAGAACACCGGUGGCGAAGGCGGUUAGCUGGGCAGUUGCUGACACUGAGGCGCGACAGCGUGGGGAGCAAACAGG